rnacentral:lncRNA from 1 species
CAAAUUUCUAUCGUUAUAUUGUGAUUUAGAAAAUUAAGCAAGAGAAUACACACACUUGCCAUGAUUCCUCUAAUUAGCAUUCCAUUAUUUAGCAUCACGCAUCAGGUUUAUCAACAUCAUUCAUAUGAUUAUUCUCAUUUUGAUUUCAGUAUUAUGAAAUUAAUCACAUUUUCACUGUAUAUUUAUCAAUGUCAGAGCAUUCCUUUUGUGUAUUUUACAUUAGUUCGCUGUGUUUUCCCUCCAAGAGAUACAUGGACCCACUCCUUCUCUGAAAUGUAGCAUUCUAGUAUAGUCUUGUUCUUAGUACACUGAGCAACUGCCAAUCGUAGAGUUCUGUAUAUGAACGUUAGGCAUGUACGUGGGAGAGUCCUUAUUUUUAUGCCACCUCCUAUCAACCUUCAGAUAUAUACCCUAAGAUAAGAGCAUGUAGCAUUUUAGUGGAUGGAAAAUGUGUGCUUCAUGUGUUGUGUCAUUCCUUCAUUUGUUAAAUUUUAUGCCAAAGAUUUAUAGAUCAUCAUAGACUGUGGUUUUAAAAAUAUCAUAAGCAAGGAGUUUUAUAUUAUUUUUUUAUGAGUUUGAUGUCGUCCUUCUGAAGUGUGUGGAUCUAGUCUUCAUCAUCAUCAUCGUCAUUAAUGAAAGUCAGCAUUUUCCCUCUUCCGCUGGGUCGACUUUCCCGUUGUGAUGACAAUUCCUCCCUCCACUUCUUCUUGUCUUUAGCCGCCUUAUUUAGACCAAUCUUAGAGCUUUCUUUUAGUCCCCCACUUGACUGAUCUCUGAGAAAUGUCUAACUUUUGUUUUUAAGUGGCCCAAAGAUUGUGGAGCGUGUGUGCAGCGCGUUGUAACUGCAAGGAAAAGGGGCUAUAUCAAAUAUAUUUGGAUUGGAUUGGAUACCAUAAUUUCGCUAGUGUAAUGUUUUUUUGUUACGGCAAGCCUGCCCUGACAUACCACCAACCAUUACCCUAGGGGAAUGGAUGGAUGUCUGUUGUUGGUUCCUCCAUGAACGGAUCCCUGCAUUGACAGGUCUUAUUGUUUAAUCCUGCUGGGGGUCUACGCACCCUUCUCACCCGAGUUGCCUGGGGGGGGGGGGUGAGCCUGUUUAGUCGCCGACCACUCGACCAUCAACAAGUAGUACUGGUUUACAUGGUUACCAGAAGCAGGAAGAACUUGACUGGACUGUUUCGAACUUUAGAAUUAUUGCAAAGCUUCAGUAUGUGUCUGAUGAAAAGUUCUGGCACUUCUUAGUUCGAUUUUGAGGGGAUUAUUCAAAAAGUCAUUUUCAUGUGAUAUAUACAUGUUUUCCAGGAUAACAUUUGUCAAGAAUUUAUGAGUAUUUAUUAUGCUUGAUAGAAUCAUGUGUCAAAUUUUGUUUUAUAUACAUCUAUUUGACAGAAAGCUUGUAAAUUAUAAUACAUGUAUGUACUCAUGCAAUAAUUUGUCACAUAUAAUGUUUGUGGUGUUCAGAAACUUAUGCAGAAAUCAUCUAUUUUCAUAUAAUGUGCGUGUGAUCGAUAAUUAAUUAUUAUGGAAAGGGUUUAGCUUGCUCUAGUUUGAACUGUAGUGCAGUGUUUUCACGUGUGUGGGGUUAUUUAAUAUGCAAUGCUUUUUUAACCACUAUAUAAUGCUUUAUAAGUACUUGUAUUUAGUGUAGGAAUAAUAAGAUAUAUAACUUAUGCACACAUGAAAGUGUUAGGAUUUGGGUAGCUACUGCAUACGUGUAUUGAUAAACUUUUUUUUCAAAUUUGGAUGUGUUAAUCGCCAAAGGGAACAUGUGUACCAGGCUACUUCUUCAGAAUUCAAUUCACUUCUUAUUACCUCAUGAAUUUUAUUGUUGUAAUCAAAGUUAAAUCAUGGAAAUUCAAUUUGGAUGAAAGCAAGUAGACAGCUCAUUUUUAGACCAGUGUUUGAAAAACUCAUGGAUGCCAACGGUUAAGGGGUUUUAGUUUUAGUUUGCAGAUGGUGGUAUCUAUUUAAAAUCAAAGUUUGGAAAUAGAAAUGUAGAUGAUGGUAGAUUGUGAAAACCAAGAAGUUGCACCUGUAUAUAUGCAGCACUACCCUUCAGAACCUUUCACAUAUGGGUACCAUCGUCUUGGAGCCAAACACUAUGUUUGUACUUUGGAGCACUAGAUUUUUUGUAUGUUGAAUGCCACGCGUGGGACAUGAAAGCAUUGAGCAGUACUUGGUGUAAAUGGAUAGGUUGUAUGUGACAAUUGUUCUUGUUUCUCACAAGUCGCACCUGUUUUAGUGUUCUAAUAAUUACAGUGUAGCAAUUAUACAUGUAGUACCACAAAAGCUUUGUUCUUCUCAUGUGGCAAGGUGGCAAGGACAUAGAGAUAAAAGAUUAAGAGGUAUUCUAAACUAAGUUGUGUAUUCUAUGAUAUGUAUAAAGUACACUGGAGCGUUGCGAUCCAUUUGAUUUACAUUUGAAACAUAUGCUUGUGUUUCUUAUCCAUUGCUGGUAGGCACUCAUUUGGCUUGUAAAA